rnacentral:rRNA from 1 species
CGCCCGUACCCCAAACCGACACUGGUGGUCAGGUAGAGAAUACCAAAGCGAUCGAGCGAAUCCUGGUCAAGGAACUCGGCAAAUCACUCCCGUGCCUUCGGUAUAAGGGAGACCCCUUGAGGUGAAAGCACUUGCUGCUGGAGCUUUGGGGGGUGGCACAGGCCAGGGGGUAGCGACUGUUUACCAAAAACACAGGAGCGUGCGAAGGCGUAAGCCGCUGUAUACGCUCUGACGCCUGCCCGGUGCCGGAAGGUUAAGAGGAUCCGUCAGCCCUUUGGGGUGAAGCGGUGAAUUCAAGCCCCGGUAAACGGCGGUGGUAACUAUAACCAUCCUAAGGUAGCGAAAUUCCUUGUCGGGUAAGUUCCGACCUGCACGAAUGGCGUAACGACUUCCCCACUGUCUCGACCAGGAGCUCGGCGAAAUUGCAGUACGAGUAAAGAUGCUCGUUAAGCGCAGAAGGACGAAAAGACCCCGGGACCUUUACUAUACCUUGGUAUUGGCAUUAGGCGCGGAUUGUGUAGCAUAGGCGGGAGACUUCGAAGCCCAGGCGCCAGCUUGGGUGGAGUCGCAAGGUGAAAUACCGCUCUGUUCUCGUUUGAUGUCUCACCACGAGCAGUCAUCCUGCUCUGGGACAGUGCCUGGCGGGUAGUUUAACUGGGGCGGUUGCCUCCCAAAGAGUAACGGAGGCGCUCAAAGGUUCCCUCAGCCCGGUUGGCAAUCGGGUGUUGAGUGUAAUCGCACAAGGGAGCUUGACUGCGAGACCGACGGGUCGAGCAGGGACGAAAGUCGGAGAUAGUGAUCCGGUGCCGGCGCACGGGCGCGGCAUCGCUCAACGGAUAAAAGGUACCCCGGGGAUAACAGGCUGAUCAUUCCCAAGAGUCCAUAUCGACGGGAUGGUUUGGCACCUCGAUGUCGGCUCGUCGCAUCCUGGGGCUGGAGCAGGUCCCAAGGGUUCGGCUGUUCGCCGAUUAAAGCGGCACGCGAGCUGGGUUCAGAACGUCGUGAGACAGUUUGGUCUCUAUCCUCUGCGCUCGUUGGAAUCUUGAGGAGGCCUGCCCAUAGUACGAGAGGACCUGGGUGGACGAACCUCUGGUAUGCCGGUCGUCACGCCAGUGGCGCGGCCGGUUGGCUACGUUCGGAAGGGAUAACCGCUGAAAGCAUCUAAGCGGGAAGCCUGCUCCAAGAUAAGGAUUCCUUCACAC